AAAUCGAACAAUAUUUCUCUUCAAAUAAUACAAAUAAUACAAAUAAUAAAUAAAAUAAAUAAUUAUGAAGGAUUAAAGAAAUUAAUACAAAUAAAUAAAGUGCAUGGGAAUAAAAUAGAUGAGUAUGAACGAAAGAGAUGAGAAGAAAAAUGGGUGAAGAAAACGAGAGAAAAAAAUGUAAAGGAAAGAGAGGUACGUGGAUGAAAAAAACGAGUGUAUAGGUAGAAGAUGAAACGAGGGUGAAUUAGAUGAGUGCAUAUGGAAUAUGAGUGUGACGAGAUUUAUAUAGGAAAUUUGAGGACAAAAAUUAUGAGUAAAUUUUGUUACUUUUAAAUUUGGACCUUUAAAUUAAAAAUAAUAUGGGAUUGGAAUAACAUACAUAAAUUCAAAAUAUAUAACUUAGUAUAAGAUAAGUCGGUAUUAGCAUAAAUACAUACAAAUAUUAAAAAGAAUAAAAUUAACGUCUACUAAGUCGAUGAUAAUCUUAUUUAUUUUAAUUUUGUUAUAGUUAACAU
rnacentral:lncRNA from 1 species